CAAUACUUUGCUCCCCUUAGUCUGCCUGGUCUGUACUUUUGCCCAGGUAUGAGUUCGGUCACACGUGAACAGUGCUGUUUGUGAACAGAAAGUGUUGUUUAACUUUGGACCUAUCCUACCUCAUAACCAGGGCUCAAGUUCUGAAGGUAUUCAGAACUGUUUAUAGCAGUUCUGUAAAAUCAAACCAAACCCCAAAGCACCCAAACAAUCAUUGGUACCUAAACUCACGCACCUCAGCAUGCUUUUGGCUAUUCCAUAACCAGACAAAUCAGUCUAAUUUCUCAUUGUGUGUAUUCAAACAGGAAGCUACUCUGCAAGCUACCAGGUUGCAUUUGACCCUGAAUAAAACUGCUGCUUUACCAGUGUGACUCAGCGCGGGAACGUGGUUUCUAUUCCCUGAAUGGAUGACUCAAUCUGUACGUACGAGAACAGUGCUCGAAGAGAGCACAUCACGUUGCACGUAGGAAAAGAUAAGGAAAGGACAAUCCUCUAAGAGUUAAGUCUGCUUCAGAAAUAUUAAACAUGCUCUGGAAAUAUUAUUGACUUUAUUGACAUAGGAAUAUAAAGAGUCUGUGAUUUUAAGAAAAAAAAGAAGUAGUGAUGAAAUUCACCAACAAUUCUUAUACUCACACCUUCUUAACACAAAAUAAUUUCCUGGUUUUUUUUGUAAAUGCAUUUAAUUAAUGGAUUAGUACUUGCAUCUGGAGAAAUAAAGCUCCCCUCAAACAC